rnacentral:rRNA from 1 species
GACGAACGCUGGCGGCGUGCCUAAUACAUGCAAGUAGAACGCUGAAGAGAGGAGCUUGCUCUUCUUGGAUGAGUUGCGAACGGGUGAGUAACGCGUAGGUAACCUGCCUGGUAGCGGGGGAUAACUAUUGGAAACGAUAGCUAAUACCGCAUAAAAUGGAUUAUCGCAUGAUAAUCCAUUGAAAGGUGCAAAUGCAUCACUACCAGAUGGACCUGCGUUGUAUUAGCUAGUUGGUGGGGUAACGGCUCACCAAGGCGACGAUACAUAGCCGACCUGAGAGGGUGAUCGGCCACACUGGGACUGAGACACGGCCCAGACUCCUACGGGAGGCAGCAGUAGGGAAUCUUCGGCAAUGGACGGAAGUCUGACCGAGCAACGCCGCGUGAGUGAAGAAGGUUUUCGGAUCGUAAAGCUCUGUUGUAAGAGAAGAACGAGUGUGAGAGUGGAAAGUUCACACUGUGACGGUAUCUUACCAAAAAGGGACGGCUAACUACGUG